CCUACGGGGGGCAGCAGUGAGGAAUAUUGGUCAAUGGGCGCGAGCCUGAACCAGCCAAGUCGCGUGAGGGAUGACGGUCCUAUGGAUCGUAAACCUCUUUUAUAAGGGAAUAAAGUGGGGGACGCGUCCCUCUUUGAAUGUACCUUAUGAAUAAGGAUCGGCUAACUCCGUGCCAGCAGCCGCGGUAAUUCGGAGGAUGCGAGCGUUAUCCGGAUUUAUGGGGUUUAAAGGGUGCGUAGGCGGUCUGUUAAGUCAGCGGUAAAAGUGCGGGGCUCAACCCCGACCGGCCGUUGAAUCUGGCAGACUAGAGUUGGGGAGAAGUAUGCGGAAUGCGUGGUGUAGCGGUGAAAUGCAUAGAGAUCGCGCAGAACUCGGAUUGCGAAGGCAG
rnacentral:rRNA from 1 species